rnacentral:rRNA from 1 species
AGGACGAACGCUGGCGGCGUGCUUAACACAUGCAAGUCGAGCGGAAAGGCCCUUCGGAGUACUCGAGCGGCGAACGGGUGAGUAACACGUGAGCAACCUGCCCUUAGCUCUGGGAUAGCUCCGGGAAACCGGAAUUAAUACCGGAUAUGACCUAGGCCGACAUCGGCCGUGGUGGAAAGUUUUUCGGCUAGGGAUGGACUCGCGGCCUAUCAGCUAGUUGGUGGGGUAAUGGCCUACCAAGGCGACGACGGGUAGCCGGCCUGAGAGGGCGACCGGCCACACUGGGACUGAGACACGGCCCAGACUCCUACGGGAGGCAGCAGUGGGGAAUCUUGCGCAAUGGGCGAAAGCCUGACGCAGCGACGCCGCGUGGGGGAUGAAGGCCUUCGGGUUGUAAACCCCUUUCAGCAGGGACGAAGCGAAAGUGACGGUACCUGCAGAAGAAGCGCCGGCUAACUACGCGCCAGCAGCCGC